UACGGGGGGUGCGAGCGUUGUCCGGAAUCACUGGGCGUAAAGGGCGCGUAGGUGGUCUUAUAAGGGUGUGGUGAAAGCCCGGGGCUCAACCCCGGGUCGGCCGUGCCGACUGUAAGACUAGAGUGCUGUAGGGGCAGGCGGAAUUCCGGGUGUAGCGGUGGAAUGCGUAGAGAUCCGGAGGAACACCAGUGGCGAAGGCGACACGCUGGGCCGUACCUGACACUGAUGCGCGACAGCAUGGGGAGCAAACAGG
rnacentral:rRNA from 1 species